GGAUUAGAUACCCUGGUAGUCCACGCCGUAAACGAUGAGUGCUAGCUGUUGGUACCGUAGGGUAUUAGUAGCGCAGUUAACGCGAUAAGCACUCCGCCUGGGGAGUACGGCCGCAAGGUUAAAACUCAAAUGAAUUGACGGGGGCCCGCACAAGCGGUGGAGCAUGUGGUUUAAUUCGAUGCAACGCGAAGAACCUUACCUACCCUUGACAUCCUGCGAAUCUGAUAGAGAUAUCGGAGUGCCUUCGGGAAUGCAGAGACAGGUGCUGCAUGGCUGUCGUCAGCUCGUGCCG
rnacentral:rRNA from 1 species